UGGGGAAUAUUGGACAAUGGGGGGAACCCUGAUCCAGCAAUACCGCGUGUGUGAAGAAGGCCUGAGGGUUGUAAAGCACUUUCAGUGGGGAGGAGUGUACUUAGGUUAAGAGCUUGAGUAGAGGACGUUACCCACAGAAGAAGCACCGGCUAACUCCGUGCCAGCAGCCGCGGUAAUACGGAGGGUGCGAGCGUUAAUCGGAAUUAUUGGGCGUAAAGGGUGCGUAGGUGGUUUGAUAAGUUAUCUGUGAAAUGCCUGGGCUCAACCUGGGCAGGUCAGGUAAAACUGUGAGACUCGAGUAGGGGAGAGGGUAGUGGAAUUUCCGGUGUAGCGGUGAAAUGCGUAGAGAUCGGAAGGAACACCAGUGGCGAAGGCGGCUACCUGGCCUACUACUGACACUGAGGCACGAAAGCAUGGGGAGCAAACA
rnacentral:rRNA from 1 species